ACCUGGCUGGCUCAGUAGGAAGAGCGUGAGACUCUUGAUCUUGGGGUCAUGAGGUGGAGCCCCAUGCUGGGUG
rnacentral:tRNA from 1 species